GCUCUGUUAGCACAGUGGUUAGUGCGUGUGUUUUGUAAACACAAGGUCGUCGGUUCAAAUCCGACACGGAGCU
rnacentral:tRNA from 1 species